AGUGCCAGCACUUAGGGGAAAGGACUACGGCAAGACUAAAAUGCGUUAUUCGGACUACACAGAGACAGAAGCAGGUCUUCAGUAUAAGGACUUGCGAGUAGGAAAUGGCCCCAUACCAAAGAUGGGAGAGACUGUAGUGAUGGUGGAGACUGAGUUACAGCAGAGGGCGAGUGAGAGAGUAGAGAGGGUGACGUGCGACAGUGGGUCGGUGAGCGAGAGAGUGAGAGGGUGACUGAGCGGUGAG